UGAGUACGAGAUGCUACGGCAUCGAAGCAGUCUAUGUCAUACUUCCAAGAAAAGCUUGCACUGUCAUAAACAAAGAAUGCCUGUACCAUAACCGACACAGGUGGGUAGGUAGAGUGUACCAAGGGGCGCGAGAUAACUCUCUCUAAGGAACUCGGCAAAAUGACUCCGUAACUUCGGGAGAAGGAGUGCCUUAUUUCUAAGGUUGCAAUAACAAGAUCCAAGCAACUGUUUACCAAAAACACAGGUCUCCGCUAAGUCGUAAGACGAUGUAUGGGGGCUGACGCCUGCCCAGUGCCAGAAGGUUAAAGAAGUUGGUUAGCAUUAGCGAAGCUGAUAACUGAAGCCCUGGUGAACGGCGGCCGUAACUAUAACGGUCCUAAGGUAGCGAAAUUCCUUGUCGGGUAAGUUCCGACCCGCACGAAAGGCGUAAUGAUUUGGAUACUGUCUCGGAGAGGGGCUCGGUGAAAUAGACUUGUCUGUGAAGAUGCGGACUACCUGCACCUGGACAGAAAGACCCUAUGAAGCUUUACUGUAACUUGAGAUUGAAAUUGGACUUUAUUUGCGCAGUAUAGGUGGGAGGCGUUGAGAAUAAUCUUGCGGGAUUGUUGGAGCCAUCAGUGAGAUACCACUCUUGUAAUGUUAGAUUUCUAACUUUGUAUCAUUAUCUGGUCAAAGAACAGUUUCAGGCGGGCAGUUUGACUGGGGCGGUCGCCUCCCAAAGGGUAACGGAGGCGCACAAAGGUUUCCUCUGAACGGGUAGAAAUCGUAUCUAGAGUGUAAAGGCAUAAGGAAGCUUGACUGUGAGACCUACGAGUCGAGCAGGGACGAAAGUCGGUCUUAGUGAUCUGACGGUGCUGAGUGGAAAGGCCGUCACUCAACGGAUAAAAGUUACUCUAAGGAUAACAGGCUGAUCUCCCCCAAGAGUUCACAUCGACGGGGAGGUUUGGCACCUCGAUGUCGGCUCAUCGCAUCCUGGGGCGGUAGUCCGUCCCAAGGGUUGGGCUGUUCGCCCAUGAAAGCGGUACGCGAGCUGGGUUCAGAACGUCGUGAGACAGUUCGGUCCAUAUCCGGUGUAGGCGUUAGAAUAUUGAGAGGAGCCUUCUCUAGUACGAGAGGACCGAGAAGGACAUACCUCUGGUGUACCAGUUAUCGUGCCAACGGUAAACGCUGGGUAGCUAUGUAUGGAGUGGAUAACCGCUGAAAGCAUCUAAGUGGGAAGCCCACCUCAAGAUAAGUAUUCUCAUC
rnacentral:rRNA from 1 species